UACGUAGGGUGCAAGCGUUAUCCGGAAUUAUUGGGCGUAAAGAGCUCGUAGGCGGUUUGUCGCGUCUGCUGUGAAAACUGGAGGCUCAACCUCCAGCCUGCAGUGGGUACGGGCAGACUAGAGUGCGGUAGGGGAGAUUGGAAUUCCUGGUGUAGCGGUGGAAUGCGCAGAUAUCAGGAUGAACACCGAUGGCGAAGGCAGAUCUCUGGGCCGUAACUGACGCUGAGGAGCGAAAGCGUGGGGAGCGAACAGG
rnacentral:rRNA from 1 species